rnacentral:rRNA from 1 species
GAUGAACGCUAGCGGCAGGCUUAACACAUGCAAGUCGAGGGGUAUAGGUUUUCGGACCUAGAGACCGGCGCACGGGUGCGUAACGCGUAUGCAAUCUACCUUUCACAGAGGGAUAGCCCAGAGAAAUUUGGAUUAAUACCUCAUAGUAUAGCAGUUUCGCAUGAAACCACUAUUAAAGUUCCAACGGUGAAAGAUGAGCAUGCGUCCCAUUAGCUAGAUGGUAAGGUAACGGCUUGCCAUGGCUACGAUGGGUAGGGGUCCUGAGAGGGCGAUGCCCCACGCUGGUACUGAGACACGGACCAGACUCCUACGGGAGGCAGCAGUGAGGAAUAUUGGUCAAUGGACGCAAGUCUGAACCAGCCUUGCCGCGUGCAGGAUGACGGUCCUAUGGAUUGUAAACUGCUUUUGUACGAGAAGAAACAACAUUACGUGUAAUGUCUUGACGGUAUCGUAAGAAUAAGGAUCGGCUAACUCCGUGCCAGCAGCCGCGGUAAAAC